CAUUUCCAGUUUCCAUGCAGGAAGACAGGUAGGAGGAGAUCAUCUGGCAAAGAGAUUUGCAGAGUGUCGGGUGACCGGCAAAGAGAUCUGCAAAGUGCCAGUUGAAGACGACAGGAGGGGUCGCAGAGGUAGCAACGACUGGAGUAUAACAUGCAGGAGAUCAUCAUUUGGCAAAGUUCUGGCAAAGAGAUCUGCAAAGUGUCAGUUGAAGACGACGGGAGGGGUCGCAGAGGAAUUAGUGACUGGAGAAUAGCAUGCAGGAGGUAAGUUACCAUACUUGUGUAAUUGUGUG